GGGGGGAGGCCUGAUCCUGGGCUGUGUCCCAGCGCCCUGUGCUCUGGGGCCUGCGCCGUUAUUCACGCUCCCGCCCCGCAGCCCCCU
rnacentral:pre_miRNA from 1 species